rnacentral:lncRNA from 1 species
CAGAUGCGAAAACAUCUGUCUGAUAUCCGAGACAAAUUAGACCCCUAACAUCACCACAGCUCAUGGGCGACGGUAUUAUCCAUCACUCACGAUCGCCAGGGGUUGGAGUUGGUAUCAAGCACUCGACUCGAUAUUAUGGUUUUGGACGAGCCUCCCGCUCCGCUCUCCGGAACACCAUGUACCACAACGGUUCCGGUUACCCGACGC